GAUGAACGCUGGCGGCGUGCCUAAUACAUGCAAGUCGAGCGAACAGAUAAGGAGCUUGCUCCCUUGACGUUAGCGGCGGACGGGUGAGUAACACGUGGGUAACCUACCUAUAAGACUGGAAUAACUCCGGGAAACCGGGGCUAAUGCCGGAUAACAUUUAGAACCGCAUGGUUCUAAAGUGAAAGAUGGUUUUGCUAUCACUUAUAGAUGGACCCGCGCCGUAUUAGCUAGUUGGUAAGGUAACGGCUUACCAAGGCAACGAUACGUAGCCGACCUGAGAGGGUGAUCGGCCACACUGGAACUGAGACACGGUCCAGACUCCUACGGGAGGCAGCAGUAGGGAAUCUUCCGCAAUGGGCGAAAGCCUGACGGAGCAACGCCGCGUGAGUGAUGAAGGUCUUCGGAUCGUAAAACUCUGUUAUUAGGGAAGAACAAAUGUGUAAGUAACUGUGCACUUCUUGACGGUACCUAAUCAGAAAGCCACGGCUAACUACGUG
rnacentral:rRNA from 1 species